rnacentral:ncRNA from 1 species
GUUGAAUAAAGCCAAAGCUGUCGUGAGGCGGUGUCGGAAAACCACGGAUCUCUUUGAAGGAGAUAGCCGGGUCACCUAC